AACCUCCGCAAUGUGAGAAAUCGCGACGGGGGGAUUCCAAGUGCUAUUCUUAACGGGAUGGCUUUUCAUUAGUGUAAAAAGCUUUUGGAAUAAGAGCUGGGCAAGACCGGUGCCAGCCGCCGCGGUAACACCGGCAGCUCUAGUGGUAGCAAUUUUUAUUGGGCCUAAAGCGUCCGUAGCCGGUUUAAUAAGUCUCUGGUGAAAUCCUGUAGCUUAACUGUGGGAAUUGCUGGAGAUACUAUUAGACUUGAGACCGGGAGAGGUUAGAGGUACUCCCAGGGUAGAGGUGAAAUUCUGUAAUCCUGGGAGGACCGCCUGUUGCGAAGGCGUCUAACUGGAACGGUUCUGACGGUGAGGGACGAAAGUUAGGGGCGCGAACCGGAUUAGAUACCCGGGUAGUCCUAACUGUAAACGAUGCGGACUUGGUGUUGGGGUGGCUUUGAGCUGCUCCAGUGCCGAAGGGAAGCUGUUAAGUCCGCCGCCCGGAAGGUACGGUCGCAAGAACAAAACUUAAAGGAAGU
rnacentral:rRNA from 1 species